rnacentral:rRNA from 1 species
CGGCCACGGUACCCUAACCGUGCGAAGGUAGCGUAAUCACCUGUUUUUUAAUUAAAGACCUGUAUGAAAGGCAUCACGAGAAUCACACUGUCUCCUUUCUCAGGUCAGUGAAACUAAUCUCCCCGUGAAAAAGCGAGGAUAACUCUACAAGACGAGAAGACCCUUUGGAGCUUAAGACAAAAUAAAUACCUGCCCCCCUAUAUCCCCACACCACACAACACGUUAUUUAUAAGUCUUGGGUUGGGGCAACCACGGAGUAAAAACAAACCUCCGAGCUGAACGGAAAUUUCCUAAACAAAAAGCAACAGCUUAAUGUAUCAGUAAACUGACACAAUUUGACCCAAUAAAUUUGAUUAACGAACCAAGUUACCCUAGGGAUAACAGCGCAAUCCACUUAAAGAGUUCAUAUCGAAAAGUGGGCUUACGACCUCGAUGUUGGAUCAAGGUACCCCGGUGGUGCAGCCGCUACCAAAGGUUCGUUUGUUCAACGAUUAAAACCU